GAGGGGUAACGGGGAGCUUGCUCCGCCGACGACCGGCGCACGGGUGCGUAACGCGUAUACAAUCUACCUUUUGCUAUUGGAUAGCCCAGAGAAAUUUGGAUUAACACAAUAUAGUAUCAUAUUACCGCCUGGUAUUUAUGAUUAAAGGAUACGGCAAAAGAUGAGUAUGCGUCCUAUUAGCUAGAUGGCGUGGUAACGGCACCCCAUGGCAACGAUAGGUAGGGGCCCUGAGAGGGGGAUCCCCCACACUGGUACUGAGACACGGACCAGACUCCUACGGGAGGCAGCAGUGAGGAAUAUUGGACAAUGGAGGGAACUCUGAUCCAGCCAUGCCGCGUGCAGGAAGACUGCCCUAUGGGUUGUAAACUGCUUUUAUACAGGAAGAAACACUCCCUCGCGCAGGGAGCUUGACGGUACUGUAAGAAUAAGGAUCGGCUAACUCCGUGCCAGCAGCCGCGGUAAUACGGAGGAUCCAAGCGUUAUCCGGAAUCAUUGGGUUUAAAGGGUCCGUAGGUGGAUAAUUAAGUCAGGGGUGAAAGUCUGCAGCUCAACUGUAGAAUUGCCUUUGAUACUGGUUAUCUUGAAUUACUAUGAAGUAGUUAGAAUAUGUAGUGUAGCGGUGAAAUGCAUAGAUAUUACAUAGAAUACC
rnacentral:rRNA from 1 species